UACGUAGGUGGCAAGCGUUGUCCGGAUUUACUGGGCGUAAAGAGCGCGCAGGCGGUCGGAUAAGUCGAAUGUGAAAGCCCCCGGCUCAACUGGGGAGGGUCAUUCGAUACUGUUCGACUCGAAGGCAGGAGAGGGAAGUGGAAUUCCCGGUGUAGUGGUGGAAUGCGAUAGAGAUCGGGAAGAACAUCAGUGGCGAAGGCGGCCUGCUGGGCUGUUGCUGACGCUGAGGCGCGACAGCGUGGGGAGCAAACAGGAUUGAGAGACCCG
rnacentral:rRNA from 1 species